AUUGAACGCUGGUGGCAGGCUUAACACAUGCAAGUCGAGCGGGAAUAGGUAGCUUGCUACUGAAUUCUAGCGGCGGACGGGUGAGUAAAGCUUAGGAAUCUGCCAUUUAGUGGGGGACAACAUUCCGAAAGGGAUGCUAAUACCGCAUACGUCCUACGGGAGAAAGCAGGGGAUCUUCGGACCUUGCGCUAAAUGAUGAGCCUAAGUCGGAUUAGCUAGUUGGUGGGGUAAAGGCCUACCAAGGCGUCGAUCUGUAGCGGGUCUGAGAGGAUGAUCCGCCACACUGGGACUGAGACACGGCCCAGACUCCUACGGGAGGCAGCAGUGGGGAAUAUUGGACAAUGGGGGGAACCCUGAUCCAGCCAUGCCGCGUGUGUGAAGAAGGCCUUUUGGUUGUAAAGCACUUUAAGCGAGGAGGAGGCUCCUGUAGAUAAUACCUACAGUGAGUGGACGUUACUCGCAGAAUAAGCACCGGCUAACUCUGUGCCAGCCGCCGCCGUAA
rnacentral:rRNA from 1 species